AGAGUUUGAUCAUGGCUCAGAACGAACGCUGGCGGCGCGUCUUAAGCAUGCAAGUCGAACGGCAUGAGGAAGCUUGCUUCCUCAGAGAGUGGCGGACUGGUGAGUAACACGUGGGUGACCUACCCUUGAGAUGGGGAUAGCCAUUAGAAAUAGUGGAUAAUACCGAAUACGCUCUACGGACUCUGGUUUGUAGAGGAAACAGGCUACGGCCUGGCUCGAGGAUGGGCCCGCGUCCCAUUAGCUAGUUGGUGAGGUAAGAGCCCACCAAGGCGACGAUGGGUAUCCGGCCUGAGAGGGUGUACGGACACAUUGGGACUGAGAUACGGCCCAAACUCCUACGGGAGGCAGCAGCUAAGAAUAUUCCGCAAUGGACGAAAGUCUGACGGAGCGACGCCGCGUGGAUGACGAAGGCCGAAAGGUUGUAAAAUCCUUUUGCUGAUGAAGAAUAAGCGUGGUAGGGAAUGACCGCGUGAUGACAUUAGUCGGUGAAUAAGCCCCGGCUAACUACGUGCCAGCAGCCGCGGUAACACGUAGGGGGCAAGCGUUGUUCGGAAUUAUUGGGCGUAAAGGGCAUGUAGGCGGUUUGGUAAGCCUGAUGUGAAAUCCUGCAGCUUAACUGUAGAAUUGCAUUGGGUACUGCCGAACUUGAAUCACUGAGGGGAAACUAGAAUUCCAGGUGUAGGGGUGGAAUCUGUAGAUAUCUGGAAGAAUACCGGUGGCGAAGGCGGGUUUCUAGCAGAUGAUUGACGCUGAGGUGCGAAAGUGCGGGGAGCGAACAGGAUUAGAUACCCUGGUAGUCCGCACCGUAAACGAUGUACACUAGGUGUCGGGGCAUGAGUCUCGGUGCCAAAGCUAACGUAAUAAGUGUACCGCCUGGGAAGUAUGCCCGCAAGGGUGAAACUCAAAUGAAUUGACGG
rnacentral:rRNA from 1 species